AAGGUGGCUGGACAGGGUGAGUAACGCGUAAGAGAACUUGCCUUACAGGACUGGGACCAACAAAUUUGAGAGAACGAAUGCUAAUACCGGCAUAUUAUGAACUGCAGUCAGCAAUGAAUUUGGUCUCAUGAAGGCUAUAUGCGCGUGUGAGAGAGCUUUGCGGUCCCAUUAGUUAGUUCGGUGACGGUAAUCGGUCACCAAGGACGAUGGAUGGGUAGCCGGCCUGAGAGGGUGAUACGGCCACCAAGGGGACUUGAAACACGGCCCUUACUCCUACGGGAGGCAGCAGUGGGGAAUAUUGGACAAUGGACCAGAAUGUCUGAUCCAGGAAUUCUGUGUGCACGAUGAAGUUCCCGGAAUGUAAAGUGCUUUCAGUUGGGAAGAAGUCAGUGACGGUACCAACAGAAGAAUUCGACGGCUAUGUACGUGCCAGCAGCCGCGGUAAUACGUAUGUCGCAAGCGUAUCCGGAUUUAUUGGGCGUAAAGCGCGUCUAGGCGGUUUAGUAAGUCUGAUGUGCAAAAUGCGGGGCUCAACCCCGUAUUGCGUUGGAAACUGCUCAAACUGAGACGUACUGCCCCCAGGUAGGCAGGUACACUUACAAGUGUAGAGGUAGAGAAUUCGUAGAUAUUUGUAGGAAUGCCGAUGGGGAAGCCAGUCCUGACUGGAUCAGAUACUGAU
rnacentral:rRNA from 1 species